AUGGUGAUGGUGGAUGGCAGCUUGGACGCAGAGAAGAUCGCAGGGUAUUUCAAGGGCAAGACCAUCCUCAUCACCGGCGCCACUGGCUUCCUCGGAAAGAUUCUUGUGGAGAAGAUACUCCGGGUGCAGCCAGACGUGAGGAGGAUCUACCUGCUCGUGCGAGCCAUGGACGCCCACUCCGCCAAGCAACGCGUCGAGGCAGAGGUGACAGACACUGAGCUCUUCUGCCUCCUGAAAGAGAAGCAUGGCAAGGGAGGAUUCGAGCUGUUUGUGGAGGAGAAGGUUGUCCCUUUGGCCGGUGACGUCAUCUUCGAGAACAUGGGGCUAGAUGCUCCCAGGUUGGAGGAGCUGGCCAAGGAGGUCGACAUCAUCGUCAAUGGAGCUGCAACAACCAACUUCUACGAAAGAUAUGACGUUGCGUUGGAUGUGAAUGUGAUGGGGGUGAAGUACCUGUGCCAGUUCGCCAAGAAGUGUGCCAAUCUCAAGAUGCUCCUCCAUGUUUCCACCGCAUUUGCAGCCGGCGACAGGGAAGGGCUGAUCAUGGAGAGGCCGUUCAAGAAGGGGGAGACCCUGAGGGAAGGCACCUACCUGGACAUCGACGCCGAGCUGCGGCUGGUCGGCGACGUGAAGAAGGAGCUAGAGCGGCAGGACGGCGGCGACAAGACGAAGAGGGAGCGGAAAGGCAUGAAGGAGCUGGGGCUGGAGCGCUCCCGCCACUUCGGGUGGUCCAACACGUACGUGUUCACCAAGGCCAUGGGCGAGAUGCUGCUGGGGCAGCUCCACGGCGCCAUCCCGGUGGUGAUCCUGCGGCCCAGCAUCAUCACCAGCAUCCUCAGGGACCCCCUCCCCGGGUGGAUGCAGGGGACCCGGACCAUCGACACCAUCAUCAUCGGCUACGCCAAGCAGAACCUGUCGUGCUUCCUGGCGGACCUGGAUCUGACCAUGGACGUGAUCCCGGGGGACAUGGUGGCCAACGCCAUGAUGGUGGCCAUGGUGGCGCACUCGGAGGAGCAGGGCGCGGAGGUGAUGUACCACGCCACGUCGUCGCUGCGCAACCCGGCCCCCUACGGCGUGCUCUACGAGUCCGGCCGCCGGCACUUCUACGAGAACCCCAGGCUGAGCAAGGACGGGCAGGUCAUCCCCACCAAGGAGAUGCACUUCUUCAAGACCAUCGCCAGCUUCCACUUGUACAUGCUCAUCAAGUACAAGCUGCCACUCGAGAUCCUGCACCUGGUGAACCUGCUCCUCUGCGGCCUCUUCUCGCAGCUCUACGACGACCUCACCCGGAAAUACAAGUUCGUCAUGCAUCUCGUCGACGUCUACGGGCCCUUCGCCUUAUUCAAAGGAUGCUUCGACGACAUCAACUUGGAGCGGCUGCGAUUGACCAUGACCAAGACAAGCCCGGAGGACGACAUGUUCAAUUUUGAUCCCAAGACCGUCGACUGGAACGACUACUUCUACAAAAUCCACAUACCGGGUGUCCUCAAGUAUGUGCUCAAGUAA
rnacentral:rRNA from 1 species